CUCUACCCAAAAGUAGAUGGUUGUGCUGUUAUUGUUAAUAAGAAUCUCUUGAACUCCAAAGGCACCCUUUCCACUUGGAGUGGAAGGGCCUUGUGCAUGUCUGAAUUCAUGAGAAACACGGAUUGUGAAAACUAUUUAUGUAAUGUUAAUUGAAUGACUUAAAAAAAAUGUUAUAGACCGUGUGUGGUAGCUCAUAGAACAUAAGAACGAUCUCUGAGUUUGUACGUCUAUCCUAGUUUAAUUCAUUGGGUUACAUGAGUAUCGCAAUGCUACACUUUAAUGACAAUCACCAAUGCUAAUCGAGUAAUGCCAUGUGCACUGUCUGUGCUGUCUACUUCUAUGCUAAUUAGAGGAAGUAAUCAUAAUUUAGCACUAGCAAUGAGACCAUAUGCCAACCUUAAGUUGUGAUACAUACUGGUAAUAAUGCAAUUGAGAUUAUUGGCUCGUAGGCUGAGGGAUAUGUUGGUACAUUGUUUCUCAAAGAUUUCAGGAUUUAAGGGAGUUGUUUGUAAUCAUACAAGGUGGUGUGUGCUAUACUGCUAUGCCUUUCGGCUAGCAUGUCAGUAGGUUGAGUUUUAACCUGAUUUAGCAUCAUCUGAUAUCAGUUCUGGUUAUACGUCACAUCUAGUAUUCCAAAAACUAAUCUGUGGCCUCCUAAAGAAUUGAAUCUGAUUUCUAGUUUCUUGAAAAUUGAUAUAUUUUCAUUGUGAUUGGAAGCUAGGUCUUAGAAGUUGCUUAAGAACAUGUAUGGUCAAAGGAUGAUGUUAGACAUCAAUGAGACCGUAUGCCAACUUUAAGUUGUUAUACAAACUGGUUAUAAUGCAAUUGAGAUUAAUGGCUCAUAGGCUGAGGGAUAUCUUGGUACAUUUUUUUUUUCUCAAAGAUUACAGGAUUAAGUGGGUGUGCUGUCCCUGUUAGCAAAUGUGUUAAUGGGUUGGGUUUCAACCUGGAUUUAGCAUUAUCUGAUAUCAGUUUUUGUUAUAGGCUAGAUCUAGGUUAAAAUAAUCUUCUGUAUCCUAAAUAAUUGAAUCUGAUAUCGGUUUUUGUUAGAGGCCCAAUCUCGUAUUCGAUGGUUGGUGUGUGGCGAUAGGCUUCGCUUCUGGGACUGUCUUCGCGGCUGUUGCAAACACUGAGCAAGAACGGUAAGGGGUGCACAAGCGGAGAUAGGGCAUCUGAUGAAAGAAGUUGGCAUCUCUCUCAUUCCUUGCUAAAUUGGAAAGUUUCUUUGGCAUUAGAGGGUGAAAGGAUUCAAAUCCGUUACCUCCUAAUGAGGGACAUGGGUUCUGGCCACUGGGCUAAUCUCCAAGGGUGGUUGUGAUUGGAAACUACUACUAGGUCUUAAAAGUUGCUUAAGAACAUGCACGUAGUAUCUAGAAUAUUAUGAGAUAACCUUUGGAUAAAAUCUAGGGCAUUGUUACUAACACAUAAGGUACUAUAUAUAUUGUAGUUUGUAGAUAUACCUAGAUUUCAAAUAUAUCAUAUUGGUUUACCUGUAUUGCAUUUUGAUCUGAUUGUGAUUGAUUCUUAUAAUACAGAGGUAUUAUGAUGAUCUGUCAAUCUGUUGAAUCUUGUUUGACUGAGGGUGAAUUUUAGGACACCAUGCACAACCCAUUUUGAAUUAAGUCUGUGAUUGGUAACCAGACAGAGAAACAGCUGAGCAAGUGGGAGCCACCUACAGGGGGGAUACACCCAACUGCAGAUACUGCUAUGUGAUGCUCCCAUUAUUUUGAAAUAGUGAAUGCACCUUGGAGGUGACAAAGACUUGAGAUAAUUCACUGAUAUUAUAACAUAGUGAUUACCUUUUAUCAUCAUCUGGACUUGAACAUUGUAAAUGAAUGGCAGUGUGGUGUAAAACCCCAUUAUAAAAGAGGGCCACUUACUAAUUGAGCACAAAAACUGAAAACUGGUGUUGGAAACUUUCUCCAUCGGAGUUCUUUUUCAACAGCUAAUCAUUUAUUUGGUUUUUUAUUUUUUUUAUUAUUUAUUAUUAUUAUUACUACCUUACUCAGCCAUGAUAUGCUCAAAUUUGUGUUUGCAGUUCUUUCUGACUACUGCAUAUUUUAAAGUGAAAGUGUUGUCUUGAGUAAAGAUUUUUUAAGAUUUUUUUUUUUUGUUCCUAUAUUACAUACAAGUAAUUGUCAAGAUUUUACUUGGCUUUGUCACUAAAUAUGCUCAAGUAAUUGUCAAGAUAUGCUCAAAUUUGUGUUUGCAGUUCUUUCUGACUACUGCAUAUUUUAAAGUGAAAGUGUUGUCUUGAGUAAAGAUUUUUUAAGAUUUUUUUUUUUUUGUUCCUAUAUUGCAUACAAGUAAUUGUCAAGAUUUUACUUGGCUUUGUCACUAAAUACACAUUGGUGAUCAACCCAUGCCCAAGAAAAGAGUGGAUUUCCAGACCAAGAACCUUCAUUUUGCAUGAAACUGGCGGCAGUGAAAGCUAGCGAUAAUGCCCCUUUCUUUUUUUAACCUUCCAAAAAAUAAAAUAGAGUUGAAAAUCAGAACGCGGAAGAAAUGACAAAAAUCAAUAUGUGAAGUUUGUUCUCAGAAAGCAUGAUCCCAUGAUGGCAAACAUGCUUGUCAUUCGCUUGUAUAAAAUCGGAACAAACAAAUCUUUUUUUCCCCCAUUGUAUUAUUUGUUUGUUUUGGGUAUUUGAACUUUUUACUGAAGCAUGAAGGCAGUAGGAGGAUUUGGAAAUGUAGACAACCUGCAUAAAGUAACAUUCUUCCAACCGUCACACAAAUGAUUACAUCUCGUCUAUUUCGUGCAUAAUCUGUCAUUUUGGUCUUUAAUAUUUUUAUUGGUUUACUGUGACAAGUUUGAAUGAUCACUGAGGCAUAUUAUGGAGAGUUGUGGGGAAUGGUUGAUAGAUACUGUAGAGUAUUUGACUUAUUUUAGACAUCGAGAUACUCUAAGCUAUUUUGAAGAUUAUUUAUGUGUUCCUUAUACCUGUACUGUAUUUACCUCUUUAUAAGAUUCUUUAUUGCUCUCACGGAGUAGAAAAGAGAGCUGCUACAAAGUUUACCGAACAGACAGAUAAAAUGUGAGAACGGAGAAAAUAACAAGAAUGUUGAUAUGGGGUAGAGCCUUCACCAUGAUUUAUAAGGCUAAAGUAUGCAUAGUCAGCCAUUAGAAAUUCUGUAAAACAAUGACUGAAACGUAUCUUUAGUUUUUCUUCUCAUUUCUUUGAGUUUUGAUUUCAAGUGUGGGUUGAACAGAGUAAUUUGGAGGUAUAAAUUCUGCAAAUCAAAUUUUCACUUUAAUGGAUACAUCAUUGGUCAUAAACAAUACAAAGUGCCCCUAAAUACAGAAAGCAUAAAAGACAACAAGCUCAAAUGUCUGAAUGGCACAUAGAAUAAGAGUCAAUGACAAGAUCCCAAUUAAUAAAAUGACAAUACAUUCAACUUUUGGGCACUCAGUACUUGAAAUGAACCUGUGCAGUUUGAAGUUAAAAGCUAGGCUUUAUCUUUAAGUACCAGCAGUUCUUUAUUCUCUCUCCCUUUGCACGUUUGACCCUGGUUUAGCAGGAGCAUCAUGCACUAGGUUUCGAUUUUUUAAGAUUUGAAGAGAUGAAGUGAGGGCUUAUCUAAUAAAAUCUAAAGUUCUAGAUGUUGUUUGGUAGCUAGCAUAGAGAAAUUUAUAUUUAUUGUUGA